rnacentral:rRNA from 1 species
CGGCGAGUGAAGCGGCAACAGCUCAAAUUUGAAAUCUUGGCCUCACGGUCCGAAUUGUAAUUUGUAGAGGAUGUUUCUGGCGACGUGUCUUCCGAGUUCCCUGGAACGGGACGCCAUAGAGGGUGAGAGCCCCGUCCGGUCGUACACCUAGCCUCUGUGAAACUCCUUCGACGAGUCGAGUAGUUUGGGAAUGCUGCUCUAAAUGGGAGGUAUACGUCUUCUAAAGCUAAAUACCGGCCAGAGACCGAUAGCGCACAAGUAGAGUGAUCGAAAGAUGAAAAGCACUUUGAAAAGAGGGUUAAAUAGUACGUGAAAUUGCUGAAAGGGAAGCGCUUAUGACCAGACUUGGGCUCGGUGAAUCAUCCGGCGUUCUCGCCGGUGCACUUUGCCGUCCCAGGCCAGCAUCAGUUCGCGCCGGGGGAUAAAGGUUUCGGGAAUGUAGCUCCUUCGGGAGUGUUAUAGCCCGUUGCGUAAUACCCUGGCGUGGACUGAGGUCCGCGCUCUGCAAGGAUGCUGGCGUAAUGGUCAUCAGUGACCCGUCUUGAAACACGGACCAAGGAGUCGUCUUCGUAUGCGAGUGUUCGGGUGUCAAACCCCUACGCGUAAUGAAAGUGAACGUAGGAGAGAGCUUCGGCGCAUCUCCGACCGAUCCUGAUGUUCUCGGAUGGAUUUGAGUAAGAGCAUACGGGGCCGGACCCGAAAGAAGGUGAACUAUGCCUGUAUAGGGUGAAGCCAGAGGAAACUCUGGUGGAGGCUCGCAGCGGUUCUGACGUGCAAAUCGAUCGUCAAAUAUGGGCAUGGGGGCGAAAGACUAAUCGAACCUU